rnacentral:rRNA from 1 species
AACGAACGCUGGCGGCAGGCCUAACACAUGCAAGUCGAACGCUGCAGCAAUGCAGAGUGGCAGACGGGUGAGUAACGCGUGGGAACCUUCCCAGUGGUACGGAAUAGCCCAGGGAAACUUGGGGUAAUACCGUAUAAGCCCCUAGGGGGAAAGAUUUAUCGCCCUUGGAUGGGCCCGCGUCGGUUUAGCUAGUUGGUGAGGUAACGGCUCACCAAGGCGACGAUCCGUAGCUGGUCUGAGAGGAUGAUCAGCCACACUGGGACGGAGACACGGCCCAGACUCCGACGGGAGGCAGCGGUGGGGAAGAUUGGACAAUGGGCGCAAGCCUGAUCCAGCCAUGCCGCGUGAGUGACGAAGGCCUUAGGGUUGUAAAGCUCUUUUGGCGGGGACGAUAAUGACGGUACCCGCAGAAUAAGCUCCGGCUAACUUCGUGCCAGCAGCCGCCGUAA